GAACUGCCCUCCUGUGUGUGCUUACACAGUGGUCCUGAUGACGAUUCUGACAUACAGGAGACAAGUGUGCUGGAGGCAGAGCAGAUACACAUCAGCUGUAACCUGUUCCAUAAUCAAGACCUCUACAAGUACUCAGCCCUGCCACUUCCAUGCUGCCAGAUCGGAACAUCUGCUCAGUCAGUCUAUGGUUUUAGAUGUUUGUUCCUGCAUAGAUCCUGUUGUCGUGUUGUGCCUAUUUUCCCUUGCCUGACUCUGGUUUCCAUUCCGCUACACUUCUGUCCACUCUGGUCCCUGUCUCCAGUCCCACGUCUCGUCAGGCCUGCUACCCUGUCCCCCCCUGAGCACCUGGCUCCAUGCAACCCGCCAAGCUUUCCCUGUCCUGCACCCCAUCUUCCCCCUGUUUUUCAAUAAAUACCUUG
rnacentral:lncRNA from 1 species